rnacentral:piRNA from 1 species
GAGAGAAAGGACGGGAGAUGAGGGU